GCGUCGUUAGUUAAGUGGUAUAAUAAGCGCCUUCCAAGCACUAGUGCCGGGUUCGAUUCCCGGACGACGCA